AAUCGAAGCCAUGGAUCAUGAAAACUGGUCGGGGGAUUUCUGGCAUGGAUUGAAGCUGGGUCUUUAUGAAAUUGGUUUUUUGUGCAACCAUGAGGCAAGCCUCUAAUCCGAAACAAGAUGCCUAAUUUGAGCAACUCAAGAUAGUGUGCCUU